rnacentral:rRNA from 1 species
GACGAACGCUGGCGGCGUGCUUAACACAUGCAAGUCGAACGGAAAGGCCCUGCUUUUGUGGGGUGCUCGAGUGGCGAACGGGUGAGUAACACGUGAGUAACCUGCCCUUGACUUUGGGAUAACUUCAGGAAACUGGGGCUAAUACCGGAUAGGAGCUCCUGCUGCAUGGUGGGGGUUGGAAAGUUUCGGCGGUUGGGGAUGGACUCGCGGCUUAUCAGCUUGUUGGUGGGGUAGUGGCUUACCAAGGCUUUGACGGGUAGCCGGCCUGAGAGGGUGACCGGCCACAUUGGGACUGAGAGACGGCCCAGACUCCUACGGGAGGCAGCAGUGGGGAAAAUUGCACAAUGGGCGGAAGCCUGAUGCAGCAACGCCGCGUGCGGGAUGACGGCCUUCGGGUUGUAAACCGCUUUCGCCUGUGACGAAGCGUGAGUGACGGUAAUGGGUAAAGAAGCACCGGCUAACUACGUG